UUGUGUGAGUAUGAAUUUCAGGGUCAUUGUGAUUUGAAGUUCCUUGAUGACUAAGAAUGAUGAUCAAUUAUUUAGGUGCUUCUCAGCCAUUGAAAUUUCCUCAUUUGGAAAUUCUCUUUAGGUAUGUUCCAUUAUUUUUAAUAGGGUUAUUUGAUUUUCUGAAGUCUAACUUCUUGAGUACUUUGUAUAUAGUGGAUAUGAGUAGUCUUUUGUAUAUAGAGUUGGAAAAUGUCUUUUCCAAUCUAGUGGUUACUUUUUUGUACUAUUGGGAGUGUCCUUUGCCUUACAGAAGAUUUGCAGUAUUAUGAGGUCCCCUUUGUCUAUUAGUGAUCUUAAAGCAUAAGCCAUUAGUGUUUUGUCCUGGAAUUUUCUCCCUGUGCCCAUGUGUUCAAGGUAAAACAGGCUGAGAAAGAAAUUAGGGAAACAGACCCUUCACAAUAGUCACAAAUAAAAUAAAAUACCUUUUUGUGACUCUAAAGCUAGUUAAAGAUCUCUAUGAGAAGAACUUCAAGAAUUCUUUCUUUGAAGAAAGAAUUGAAGAUCUCAGAAGUUAGAAAGAUUUCCCAUGUUCACGGAUUGGCAGGAUUAAUAGAGUAAAAAUGGAAAUCUUGCCAAAAGCAAUCUACAGAUUCAUGCAAUCCCCAUCAAAAUUCCAACUCAAUUCUUCAUAGAGUUAGAAAGAGCAACUUGCAACUUAAUUUGGAAUAGCAUAAAACCUAGGAUAGGGAAAGCUAUUCUCAACAAUAACAGAACUUCUCCGGGAAUCAACAUCCCUGACCUCAAGCUGUAUUACAGAGCAAUGGUGACAAAAAUUGUAUAGUAUUCGUACAGAGACAGGCAGGUACAUAAGUAGAGUAUGAUUGAAGAUCAAGAAAUGUACAAACACACCUGUGAUCAUUUGAUCUUUGACAAAGGGUCUAAAUCCAUCCAGUGGGAAAAAGAGAGCCUUUUCAACAAAUGGUGCUGGUUCAACUGGGAGUCAGCUUGUAGAAGAGUGCACACCAAUCCUUUUUUAUCUCCUUAUACAAUGCUCAAGUUCAAGUACAUCAUGGACUUCCACAUAAAAACAGAAGUACUGAAACUAACAGAGGAUAAAGUAGGAGAGGGCUUUAAUCUUGAAGUUUUAUGAGUGUAGAGCCUGAACAGAGCAUUUUGCACACAGUUAAUUGUUCUAUGCUGUUGAUUGUGGUUUUUGAUAUGAAAGGCUGCUACAGGUUCCUUCUACUUUGAGUUCCCUGUAAUGAUACAUUAUAAAAUGUAAUUUUGGUCCAAAUAAACUAUCUAAUGUUUCAGUUGUUCAGCAAGCUCAGUCCCCAAGGACAGUUAAUUAUUUUUUCCCUAAGAAGACAGUAUGAGGAUGUUCAGCUAUACUCUGGAGGAAUCUCCAGAGCUCUCUGAGUAUCUAAAAUUCACCUCACACCUCCAUGUACUAGUUUCUGAUAUACAGCUAUGACGAUUAGGAUAAAUACUGUGUGCUAUUCUGCAUCAGAUGCCGUUUAUUUUAUUAAUGGCAGUCAUUGUUAACACAUGCAGGUCUUUGAACUUACUUGAGGAUUAGCUAUGAGCCUUCAAGAAAGGUGAGAAAAACACUCAAAGAUAAAAAGUCACAUUGAUUGACUUUUGUCUGGCAAUUUCUUCAUGAGUCCACUGACAGUCUCCUGAAUUUUUAUAUACAGACACCACCUGUGAAAUAUAGAAGUGAUCUUGUCUUUUUCCUGUAGUAUUUAUUCCAGAUAAAAAGGUAUGUGACUCUUUCAAGGGAAGAGGAGGAAUUCAUUGUGAAUUCAGAACUUGGUCUGUGUGGAAAUUCUGUCCUGGCCUCUUGCUUUAGACAAGCUGGAAACAUUGACCAUUUCCUAAGAAGCAGCUCGAAGAAGAUUUGAGAAAUAUAACGUAGUAGAUUUUUAACUUUUUUUGAGUAACUAUUUAGAGUACUUAUUCUUCUAUUAACUGGGCAGUUACAAUCCAGUGAGAAGGAAAGUUCCAUAGAAUAAAUGGUCUGUGUAUACCUAUUGUGAGUAACUUGAAAACGGUGCUUUAAAAAUAGUUUAGAGGGCUAAAACAAAUUAAAGGCUAAAGGUUAUUCUAAACUAGUUUUGAGAUGCUGAGUCAAAGUAUAAAUGUCAAAACACUGAAGGAAUUUUGAUAAUUCAAGUAUUAGAACAUCCUCUCAGAAAGCAUAGAAAGUAUAAGAUGUUUGAUGUAAAUUUAUAUUGUUCAGUGAAUUCUUCAUUCAAUUGGGUAGAAGACAUAAUCAGAAAAGACACAGACUCAAAGGAUAAAAUGAUUUUUCUGUACACUGAUGAAGGCUUAGACAUAAAUGAAUAAUCUCCCAGUCACCUUAAAAGUCUUGUGCCCUUAGGUCAGAUUUAUGCUGUAUGUAAUCUGUAACUCUUGUACGUGAGUGUUUCACAUAGUAUCGUCAAAAACUGAGAUUCUCAUUUAUCUUCUUAGAUUCUAAGUUAAGUUAUGAAUAGAGUAAUAGAGAAUACUUCCUUUCUACUUCUCAUUCAUGCACGCAUGUACACACACACAUGCACACUUACACAAAACUCCAUUUGUAUAUAAUAUAGCCAAUGCAGAAAGUUAUUAUAUGGGAUAGGAUUGGCCACUUAAAUAUUUUAAAGGUACAAUACGCAACUAAAAUGGCAAAAGCUCAACACAAAGAAAAUGGCAAAUAUUAGAGUAGAUAUCCUUCCAAAUAUGGUAAGCCAAACAAGAAAAUAAGUAUCAUUAGACUGUAAGAGCUACAUGUAUCAGAGAUUAAAAAAAUCUAUAUAUCCUAGGUAAUUGGGCUAUCUUGAUCUCUGUUCCCACUGUUGGGUGGUGUCUGGAGGAAAUU
rnacentral:lncRNA from 1 species